rnacentral:rRNA from 1 species
UACGUAGGGUGCGAGCGUUGUCCGGAAUUAUUGGGCGUAAAGAGCUCGUAGGCGGUCUGUCGCGUCGAUGUGAAAACUCGGGGCUCAACCCCGAGCCUGCAUUCGAUACGGGCAGACUAGAGUUCGGUAGGGGAGACUGGAAUUCCUGGUGUAGCGGUGAAAUGCGCAGAUAUCAGGAGGAACACCGGUGGCGAAGGCGGGUCUCUGGGCCGAUACUGACGCUGAGGAGCGAAAGCGUGGGGAGCGAACAGG